UAUUGAUUGAUGUUGUUUUUACAAAUCUCCAAAGAUGGCUAUUUAUAGCCUGUUACAACCAAUUUCCUAACCGACUAGGAUUUAUCUCUAAUCUUAAAUGAAAAUGAAUAUUUACAAACACAACUCGUAUCGGAGUUUGUUAUUAUACUCCCGCGGGCCAAUCUUUCUCUAUCUUCUUUCCCUGAUUCACUUUAAGCCCAUAUUGGUGAAUAAAUCUAAAUGAAACAACAGCGAUGUGCCCGAAGUUAAAGCUUAGAUAUUACUCGAUAAACAAAACUUACAAAAUUGGCCGGAGAUCGUGUUGAUGCUGCCCUCCCAACCCGUACGAACUCGUGAAAGAAGAAAAGUAUUGGCGAAGUCACCGACUUGAAAGUAAAGUGCGAUGAAAAAGUAGAUUUGUUGUAUUGAUUGAUGUUGUUUUUACAAAUCUCCAAAGAUGGCUAUUUAUAGCCUGUUACAACCAAUUUCUUAACUGACUAGGAUUUAUCUCUAAUCUUAAACGAAAACGAAUAUUUACAAACACAACUCGUAUCGGAGUUUGUUAUUAUACUCCCGCGGGCCAAUCUUUCUCUAUCUUCUUUCCCUGAUUCACUUUAAGCCCAUAUUGGCCCAAUCGCUCCAGCCUUCCAGUCGGCCGAUCUCCACCAACUCCGUCCGCCAAAACACUGUAGUACCAAUCGGUCGAUUCCCAACCGUGACCUUUUAAUCUGCCACAUGGGCCAGCCCUUUCCUUCCUU
rnacentral:lncRNA from 1 species